UUCUUUGAAAUAGGAUUUGGAAGACAUACACAAAUGCCACGUAGGAUGAAGUUUUUUUUUUAAUUUUUAAUAAAUUCAAGUUAUAACUUUUUAAAAAAUCAUCAAUUAAUAUAUAAGGAAUUUUUGUUAUACCUUAGUGAUGUUACGUGUCUUAUUCUAACUUUAAAUAUGUAAAUAGUCAUCAGCGUGAUGUUUAAGCUUUCCCAACAGAAGUAUCAUAUAAUAACAGACUAACAGUAUCGUAUAGUAACAGAUUAACAGUUACACAGAAUCUUUCUACUUCCUUCUAAUUCUUCCUAAUUCUACUUAUUUAAAGUUAUUCAACUUGUUACUCCUUAAUUCAAAAUUUCGAACCGCAAAGCCGCAUAAUGUUUAAGGUUUAAAAUAAAACCGACACAUAGCCGGUUUAUUUCUGAUUACCCGUUUUUCAAUUUGGACAGUAACAAAUGGAUAACUUAAUUAAACCGAAACAACCAGAUUAGAAAUAAUAAACCAAAAUUAAUUAAAUCCAUCUUAAUAAGCCACUUUAAACCGAAAAAACCCAUCAUCAUCUCAUCUUCUUCCUCUCACCCAAUCCAAAUCCAACGAAUUAUCUCCUCACCCAAUAUCUGACCCGUUAACUUUAAACCCUCCACCAUCAACCUUAUCCAAUUCGUAUAUGUGAAUCGUAAUUUCCAGUCCCAAAACAUAAUAUCUUAAGAUAAUCAGCUAUGGACAAAAACUCAAUCUCUUGCCCUAACAUCUCUCUGAAUCUGUCUUCUCCCAAUUGCAAGUUCUCCGUAUUUUAUUGUUUUUAAAGUCAUUAAUGGAAAAAAAUUGAUGAAAGUAGCCCUAUCGUCUUCUUUUCAAAUUUAUCUGAAAACCUUAAAUUCACAAUCAAUGGCUUUUCUCUCUUUUUUUCUUGCUUUAUAUAAUUAUUAGUAUUUUGACCCAAAAAAAAUAUAAUUAUUAGUAUCGACGUAUUAUAGAUUUUUAAAAAAUUGUUGAUUUCUAACCUGAAAAUAAUGAAGCAUGUCGAUGUUAGAAGGAAGAUGUGACGGGUCGGGUUGGUUUCUUCUUUGGUCUGUUUUUUUUUUCAUUCUUUGGUUUAAAUUUUUUUUUCGUUGGUUUGGUUUAAGUUUUCAAAUCUGGUUUAUGUUGCAAACCGCUAAAUCAAUGAAAAACUAUGGUUUACUUGGGUUCGGGUUUCAAUCUUUAGGAUUGGAGAGUAAUAGGUUGAAUAACUUUAAAUACGUGGAAUCAAGACGGAGCUGAAAGAUUGUGGAGCUGAAAGAUUGUGUAACUGUUACUAUACGAUACUCCUGGUAUGCAAUGACAGGAACAUUGAGCAGAAAGAGUGAUAUCUAUAGUCUUGGAGUUGUUCUGGUAGAGCUCCUCACAGGUCGUAAACCAGUUGAUAAUACCUUACCACGUGGACAGCAGAGUCUCGUGACAUGGGUAAUGCUUAAUGCACCUCUGCUUCCUUUUCUAUUUUUACUCAUGCUGGUUAGAGAAUGUUGUAGGAAGAACAAACUCUUAGAUUGUGAGAGAGUAGAUACUCAAAACUUUCUCUAGAAACAUAAACCAUUAUUAAAUGAAAACAUGUUUGUGUGGUCUCAGGCAACCCCUAAGCUGAGUGAAGACAAGGUGAAGCAGAGUGCGUUGAUGCAAGACUAAACGGUGAAUAUCCUCCCAAAGCUGUUGCCAAGCUGGCUGCAGUAGCUGCGCUAUGUGUGCAAUACGAGGCAGACUUCAGGCCAAACAUGAGCAUAGUGGUGAAGGCUCUUCAGCCUCUGCUCAAUCCUCCUCGCUCUGCUCCUCAAACUCCUAACAGGAACAACCCUUAUUGAUUGAUAUCCUCACAAACACGCUUCACCAUCCACUAUUUCAUUUGUU